AUGGGGUAUGAAUGGCAAAUAGGUGAUGGUAGAUUGGUUAGAUUAUGGGAAGAUACCUGGUAUGGUAACACUCCCCUAGCCACACAGUACUAGGACCUAUAUGUUUCGGUUAAUGAAAAGAAUAAAACCAUUGCAGAUUUCUGGGAUGGACAGGAGCUCAAAUGCACCUUAGAACCUUUACCGGUUCAUGCCACGAACCGGUACUAA
rnacentral:rRNA from 1 species